CAGGAGUGAAGAGCAAGAAACGACAUAUUUUGCAUUCUUAUUACUCAAGCUAUUUCUUCUUUUAAGAAAAUAUCACCUUGGUCAUAUUUCUGAUAUUUGUUUUUAAGGGAAUGCAUUUAAUCUCAAUGUACUAAGGAAGACUUAUUGAAGGCAUGAACAUACUGUUCCAUUUGGGAGUCUAGAGCCCAGGAUUUUGUUUUCUCUACUUUCAACAUAGAAUGAGACAGUGUGACAUAAAAAUUCCUUGGGGAAAUCAAACCUUAUUUUGCACUUUUUUAUGUGUGUGUGUGUGUUUCCUCAGAUUAUAAAAAAGAGUUGCAUGUAAAGAUUAUUUAUUUUUAAUUUUUAGAUGUAUGCAUUGAGCAUUUCUUUGAUCCAAGCCCUUAUGAUGUUAUAGGACAGAGGACCUUCAAUGGAAUCGAGCAUGUUAAAAUACAUGCGUGGGCAUGUUUCACAUGGGCAAUUCUACUUAUAGUACUAUUUAUCAGGAAUAUAGAGUCAGUAGAUUGUGGUGGUUUGAUAAAAAUGGCCCCCAUAGCCUGAUGUGUUUGCAUGUUUGUCCCAUAGAGAGGCACUAUUAGGAGUUGUGGCUUUGUUGGCAUAGGUGUUGGAGGGAGUAUGGGUAAGAUUUAAGGUUUCAUAUGCUCAAGUUAUUCCCAGUGUGGACACAGUCUCUUGGUACCAGCUCUCGUAUGUAGAACUCUCAGCUCUUUCUCCAGCAUCAUGUCUGCCUGCAUGCUGCCAUGUUCUCCUCCAUGAUGAAAUGAACUAAACCUCUGAAACUGUAAGCCAGCCCUAAUGAAAUGUUUUCCUUUAUAAAAGUUGCCAUGAUAAUGAUGUCUCUUCACAACAAUUUAAAGCCCUAACUAGGACAUAGAUAGAUGCUUGCUAGAUAGUAGAUAGUUUAUGAAUGGAAAAAAUAAAUGGUAGACACCAUAGAUGCUCUAGAAUAGAGCCAAAAGGAGUCAGCAGAGGUACCCCAAGUACUCUGGCACCUUCACGCACCCCAUUAUGACAGCCAUCACUCACAAUUUCUGUCCUCGGGCCUCUAUUCUGUAUUUCCUUUCUUUCAGGUAUAUCUAAUUUUUCAGAGGGAAGUUCACUUAGACUCUUAAGCAGUUUUUUCUGCCUAGUACAGUGACCAACACAUAGAGAUUUUCAAGCUAAGCACCUAGUUGUUAUACCUUAAAAUACUAUCUUGGGUUUGUUUUUAAUGAUGUUACCUGCUUUAUCAUGUGCCUUACAUGCACAUAUAAACAUGCACAGGCUACUUUUAGGACCAGACCCCCUUCUAUUUUCAACAUUCGCCUCACUGAAAGGCAUGCCAUUCAGGGAUUGGAUAGAGAUGUAUAUACUUUCUACUCCCAAACUCAUACCACCAACCCUCUCUAUGUCUCCUUUGUAGCUAUCUAUUGACAUCUCCACUUACAUAUUGCUCUCUUACCCUCAUUUUAAUCCCAUAUUCUCUUUUUUGAGUAAAUUUUAUAGCAAAUCUAUUAUUUCUCCAACCAGGAUGUAUAAGAGUUACCCACUAAUGUUUCUUAGACUGAUGUUUCCUGUCUGAUCCAUCAUCACGUUUAGUUACUUUUAUACUGUAAUGAUACCUAGAAUUCUUCAAUUUCUCUUUGUUUCUAUAGAAUUUUAAAGUCAAAGAAUUUCCCCCUAACUAGCUUCUGGUUUCUCAGUGUGCCACUUGGAUGUUACCUUAUAUAUCAUCCGGCUCUCCCCACAGCAUGGCGAAAGUAGGCACCUGCUGCUCCCAGAUGUAGAGAGGUUGGGUUUGCUUUGGUUGUUCUCCAAUAAGCUUAGUUACAUGCCUGCGAAUCCAUGGCGAGGGGUUGGUCUGAAAUGACUUCAGCUAGGACGAGCAGGGAGGCUCAGCUCCCUCCUGUCUCAUCCCACAGAACACUUGCUGCAUAAUAUAUUCCAGAGAGGCAGAGAGUAUAGGUAGAGACUCCAAUUGCUACUCAGUUCUCUCUCAUACCGGUUCUAAUAUCCCAUUGGCUGAAACAUAUUAUGUUCCUUAGCUGGGUCUCAGAGAGCAGGGAAUAUGCUGAUUUCAUAGAGAGAGACUUGGAUAUAGGGAAGAUAAUGAACUGGGACUAUUAAAGCCUUUAGCCUUACACACUAGGUCAAAAAAAAACUCCUCCUCCAACCACAGUAUUAACCUUUUCUCUUUCACUGCUCCAUGGACCUCCCUUCUCUACAACUGCACAGCUAUUUGGGAGGCAUUAUUUUUAGGCACUUGGGAAAGGAGCUCCCAUUGUUUCAUAACUGCAAUGUGUAGUACAGUGCUUGGCUCAUUGUAAGUAUUCACUAAAAAUGGACUGAAUAUGAGAAAGAACUGACAGGGAUGGCUUCAAGACAUAAGUGAUGUAUCUUUGCUGUAGCCUCAGGAAGCUAUUUACUAUUAUAAAGAUAAGACUUUGGUAAAUAUCACCAGCAUCUACUUCAUUUGAAAGAUACCUUGUCUUCUUAGGCAGUGCUCGUGGUAUACAUAUGUACAUACACACACACACACACAUACACGCAAAUACACAUAUAUGUAUAUAUUACACUUACACUCUCACACACACACACACACACAGAGAGAGAGAGAGAGAGAGAGAGAGAGAGAGAGAGAGAGAGAGAGAGAGAGAACUUGUGCCAGAGUUGGGGGCAGAAGUCUGUACAAGAGUAUAUACUUCGAGAAAUUUUUUUCUGCCUGUUCCUGUGAGUUAGACUUUUGGAAGUACAGGACCCAGUCAUAGGAGCUGAAGGAACCCUACUCCAUUUCUGGAAAUUCAACAUUUAGGAAUGUAACUUCAGUAAAUCUAUACCCAGCUAUUGUGUACUGUCGAAUUCUUUAGUAUCCUUUUCCCUACAAAGGACAGCAAUACUAUUUGGGAAACUUUCUUACAGCUCAAAUAAAACAGGCCCUUUGCAGAGAAGUAAGUUUGACGCCCCAAAUUCAAGAGUCACAUCACUUUUUCUCUAUUGUAAAACGUUUGAGAGGGGGUUUUUGCUAUAAUUUAUUAAAAAACAGGAAGCCCUGAUGAGUCCAUAGUGCUUCCUUUUGUUUCUAAAUAGCAAAUAUCACAUUCAUCUUUGCAAGUAUAUGUGUUGCCUGAAUUCAAGGAAAACGUGGAUUCUAUGAGGUAAAUGGAGCAUCAGGGAUCAGAGACGUCUCUCUCAUGCACCAUUCUGUUUCCCACUCAGUAGACAAAUGAAACUCCGGCUGCCACUGCUGAAGCACUGCCCCCAGCGCCCUUCUGCUCAUGCUGAGUCCACCAUCUGUAAUCCUCUCACCUGCCCUUCCUGAUAGACCAGGUCUGCUUCCCAUCUAGUCACGGGGUAUAAAUUUAAAAUGUUCAUUCGCUUGGCCUCAGUAAAUCCUUGCUGAAGGAUUUGUCCUAAGGAAAUAAAUGGAAUUGGUGCUUGAGGUGGCGCAGCCUGGAGGUUGGCAGAACUUACAUCAGGAGUUGGGAUUUGGUAUGAAUGUGGCUUUGGUGCAAGACUACCUAGAUUCCAAUAAUGGCUCUAUCAUUUCCUGACGGCUUGAGCUUGGCACAUCACUUUUCCUUUUGCCUUGAUGGCUUCAUACCAAAAUAGAGAUAAUAAUAGCAACUGCCUCCUACAGUUAUCAGCAAGAUUAAAAAUGUCAGGAAAGGUGAUGCACUUUGCACAGUGCCUGAUGCCUGAGAGGAACUCAGUGUUCAUGUAAGCACUUGCUCAGCCUUCACAUGUGAUUGCAUUAUUUAAAACGUCUCAUUUUCUUUUUCUUGCUUCCGGUGCUACUAGUAGACUGGGUAGACCCCUUCUUAUGUUCCCCCAAACCUCUCACUUAGUAUUUUUAGCUAGGUUUAAUGCAAAAUGAACAAUUGGUGGCUUGCCAACAAAAAAUAAUGGAGAUUCUUAAACUAAUUUCUUUUAUAAAGAAACACAUGCCAGUUCUCUAAUUUGGGAAACUAUUCCAUUUGUAUGAUAGCAUCUGCUGAUCUCAUGACAAUUAUUCAACACUCUGGCACUCAAUAAUGAGGGCCAAAGAUGUGGCCAAUUGAAGUCAACUUCAAUUCAAUUUUAAAUAGACUACUUGAUUUGGUCAAAAAUUAGCCUUUUAAUUUUACUUUAUCUGAUGUCAAUGUUGUAUUUUGGCUACUUAAAUCUUUGGUUUUCAGUUAGAAAUGUAUCAGAGAGGUUCCAAUGUCUUGUCAUCCUGUGUUAGACUAUACAUGUCUAGUUUUUCCUCUAAUUACAGAGUGUUCAGAGCACUGGAGUUUGAAUUGAUUAUAGGGCACAUGCUGUGGUGCACUUUGCAGUUUUUAUAAUUUUAAUUUAUUAACAUGCCUUUUAUUUAAUCACGUAUAAGUUUUAAGUAAAAGCUUGGGCCCUUCUUAUCUUCUAAGAAAUAAUUUCAUUAUCAAGUAUUAUGCCAUAAUUAAUGUAUUAUCUCGGCAUUGCAGUAGAGCUUUCUGGAUCCUGGGAGCCAGUCUUGGAAGAAGGAGAUCCAAGAUAAUGUAGAAAAAAAUAAAAGCACAACAGCCUAUAUCAGCUACACUCACUGCCCUGCUGUGAGAUAGGGAUCAGCUUCAAAUUGUUGCACUCACAGAGGAUGGUGGUCUCUAGCAAGAGGAUGGUGGCAGCAAGGAGUAGCCUAUCCUGAUAAAGGCAGAGUUGAAUCCAUCUGAUAUCCUACGUGUGUCCCUGAAAUAGACGGUCUGCUCUCAGGAGCAGCUCUUGAAUACAUAAGAAAAAAAAAUCUGGGGCAAAAGAAAGCUUCCUGUUCCCUCUUUGUUAUGUUAUCCUUUAUAGAGACCUGGGGUUUCAAAGUAAAGGUCGUGAUUUUCUUCCCCUAUUUGCCUUCCUGGCAAGGGUUGCUUCAAACUCUUGACAUUCUCAAAAGUGCCUGUACUUACCUUUCUGAGCAGAUGGAGGCUACAAGGAUGCCACAGAGACACAUAGAGGCUUUCAAAGGCAUAGAAGUGCGAGAAAUCAGAGAAAUCCAUGGGUGAUAUGCCCUCUGUUAAACACAAAGCUUAUUAGGUGGAAUAAUGCCCUCAACUUAAGUGACUUGUUAGAAAUCUUCAUAUUCACGAUGUACUAUUUCUUUCAGAAAAUGACUAUCAUGGCAAAUGAAUAUCAUGACAAAAGUGAUGGUAAAACAAUUAAUCAUUGAAAAUAUUAGUUUUUGCCUGUUCAAAUUGGCCAAUUCUGUCUCAUCUAGGUAUACAUUUCUUUUUCCCUUUUGGUAAAAUCAGCAGGAACUUCCAGGUGGCUGAAAUCCAUCCCGAGUAUUGUUGCCAGGAACAUUUAUAGUCCAUUGUUCAGAACAGAAUAGCUGGGAGCAACAGGGGGCUCUUCAAUUUUGCCUCAUCGAGCCCCAAAUUGGAGAUGUGUUUUUUGUCGCUUCAGAAUUUCAGGUGUUAGGGCCUGAGAUUCAAAACAAAUACCAGCUCCUGCUGAACACAAGCCUUAAUUAAUUUUCAGCAGGAGAUGAGUGAUUGCCAAUAAGCCAUGAAUUAAAAUGGAACGGUCACCAAAGGCCAGGUUCUCCUCUCAAACAAAUAACAUUUCUUACUGAUUCCUUGAAAGAUCAUCUCAGAGGUGAGCAAGUGCUUGUCCCAGCUCUCUGGAACGAGGGAGGUGUGUGGGCAAUUGAGAGCACAAAGUCCUAGCCUAGUAGAUCAGAGGACCCAACCCAACCCAACGGACUCGGAGGCACUUGGGCAAUGUCCUCAUCACGAGGCCGUAGUUCUAGAGCGUUUGCCUGCUUCUCUGGCUUAAUUAUGUCAGUCUCCAGAAGAUCUUAAAGGUCAGCUGUGCCCCCUAUAGUCAGUGUCUGUGGUGCAUUGGGGCCACCUCUGUAAAUUGGAAAUUGGUACUGCCUCAAUUCCUCUAGUCACCUCCAUAUUCCCUUUUUUCAGAAACAGUCUGUGUUGUCUCUGUCCUAUUGGCUAGUUUUCUUUUCUUUUUUAAGAAGACUAAAGAAAGAGAGAGUCCCAUGUUGUUUUAAUCCUUUGAGACUGAUUUAUCCCCAAAGGUGGAACACAAUGAAUCAAAAGUCUCCUUGUGUGAGAAAGCUCUUUAAUAAGUGAGAUUGCUGGUCUCAAGCUUCUUCCUUGGGGCCUCUUUUAUGGGCAAAACAACCCAGAGCCUUUCAAAAUUCUUUACUUGGCACUGUGUGUGUGUGUGUGUGGGGGGGUAUGUGUGUGUGUGUGUUUCUACUCAUCCUUGUAUACACAAUUAUUAUUGUCAUCAUUGUUGUUAUUUAAUAACAAAUAGCCACUCAUUGUGGAGUGUUCUAUUGUGGUAUAAAAAGUUGCUAGUGUUUAUACAAUCCUCAGCAACAAUCUUAUAAAUUGAGUGGUUGGCACGUCCUACCCUAUCAAUGAGGCAUUUUAUAAAAAAGGGAAACAGGGAUUGGUCCUUUGCCCAUUAGACUCAGAAUUGAGAAUCCUCACUCUUUUGUGAUGGUUCAACACUUCCCUCACCCUUCCGGAAAGCAUCAGCCCAUUGACAAUUACUUGAGGGAAGCUGCUAUUUUCCUCACAUACUCUAAAUGGGAGAUGCAUUGGAUUUCUAAAAGUGCUGUGCUGAUUGAUCCUCUCCACACUCAACAAACAUUAGCAACCCUGUUUCCCUGCCGAGAAGCCCGCUCAAGGUGGUAAAAGCAUAAGCAUUGCCUAGGCACCAGGCCUUGGGUCCAGAUGCUUCUGGGGCAAAACCAUCUUCUUCCAGUUCAUCAUGAGAGCUGAUGCCAGCUUCUGGCGUAUGCCAGCUUAUGGUGAAUGAAUGAAGUCCAAGUCCAAUUCCUGUUAUGUCAGCCUUAUUGUCUACAGCUAUUGCCCUCUAGUGGUGUGAACGAAAGGAAAAAUGAGGUUGGAUUUAUGGUUUGACUUGCCCUAACAGGCCAAAGUUCUACAUAGUGGUGUUUACAUAUCUUCCUCAAGGGCAGGGCCCUGGUCCUGUAUCAGGUGCAGUGUCAACUCAGCUUUUAGUAACUGGUGGAAUUACACAUGCAAAUAUAGAUGCUCAUUUCCGUGCCUGGGUAGCAGCUAGCCUUUGUUUUCAUAGACAGGCAUACAAGGCAACCAAUGGAGUUUGCAGGGUCUGUUUUCAGUCUGCCAAAGUAAAUUAAGUCAAAGGACAUCAUUUCUCUCCUGAUAAUAAGCAACUGUGGACUGUGAGACCAGAGCUCCAGAUAGUCAGUUUCAGAGGAUCUGAAGGCCUGCAUAGGUAGGGAUGUUGUUGUUGUAGAUUUAGACAUGGUUCUUUACCUCUUAUCUCUAGUGAUUUAUCUUAAGUCCUCUAAGUAGCAGAGGCAGUAGGCUUGUGCCGCCAUACCAUGCCUUAGGCCUGUUCUUUGGGAUCCAACUCUGAUGAAACUUUAAUGUGCUGCAUUUAAGGCCUUCUUCUUCUUUUUUUCCCUUCCCAAUUUUUUAUUAGAUAUUUUCUUCAUUUACAUUUCAAAUGCUAUCCCGAAAGUCCCCUAUACCCUCCCCACCCCUGCUACCCUACCCACGCACUCCCACUUCUUGGCCCUGGUGUUCCUCUGUACUGGGGCAUAUAAAGUUUGCAAGACCUAGGGGCCUCUCUUUCCAGUGAUGGCCGAGUAGGCCAUCUUCUGCUACAUAUGCAGCUAGAGACAAGAGCUCCAGAUAUACUGGUUAGUUCAUAUUGUUGUUCCACCUAUAGGGUUGCAGGCCCCUUCUGCUCCUUGGGUACGUUCUCUAGCUCCUCCAUUGGGGGCCCUGUGUUUCAUCCAAUAGCUGACUAUGAGCACCCACUUCUGUGUUUGCCAGGCACUGCCAUAACCUCACAAGAGACAGCUAUAUCAGGAUCCUUUCAGCAAAAUCUUGCUGGCGUAUGCAAUAGUGUCUGGGUUUGGUGGCUGAUUAUGGGAUGGACCCCUGGGUGCAGCAGUCUCUGGAUGGUCCAUCCUUUCAUCGCAGCUCCAAACUUUGUCUCUGUAACUCCUUCCAUGGGUGUUUUGUUCCCAAUUCUAAGAAGGGGUGAAGUGUCCACACUUUGGUCUUCGUUCUUCUUGACUUUCAUGUGUUUUGCAAAUUGUAUCUUGGGUAGUCUAAGUUUCUGGGCUAAUAUCCACUUAUCAGUGAGUCCAUAUCAUGUGAGUUCUUUUGUGAUUGGGUUACCUCACUCAGGAUGGUAUCCUCCAGAUCCAUCCAUUUGCCUAGGAAUUUCAUAAAUCCAUUGUUUUUAAUAGCUGAGUAGUACUUCAUUGUGUAAAUGUACCACAUUUUCUGUAUCCAUUCAUCUGUUGAGGGACAUCUGGGUUCUUUCCAGAUUCUGGCUAUUAUAAAUAGGGCUGCUAUGAACAUAGUGGAGCAUUGUUGACAGUUUAGGAGCUGCCAGAGGAUGCUAAACCCAUAAACCAUUCCUAUUAUGGAAUAUACUCUCUAUUGGUUAUCACCCCACUGAGAUUAGAUGUAGGGAAUAGUGUUCUGUUAGAGAAGGAAAACAGAAGAGAGCAAAGUAUGGACAGGCUCAGUGUUUCUACAAAUCUUCAGCCUUUUCCUCUCUGUUUUCAAUGGAUUUAUUAUGGCUAAUGGUGCCAGUUCCACCAGUGAAGCCAUGUAGGACAAGUACCCCAGAAAUUCCACAUUCAGGGCACUGGGCAUGGCAGGCUGUGAAGUCUCCUGCACAUAUCCUGUCUUAUAUACUUGGUGCUUUUGUUAAAUUCUUUCAAGUUUCAAAUGAAUUAUCAACCUGUUAUUCACUGUGUCCAAGCCCCAUAAUGUGUGUGAUCCUUAGUCUUACCACCUGUAAAGUGGAAUUAAUAAUAGUUUUUAUGGAUUAUCUUGAUGUCUCUACGAUGAUCAGCCAAAAGCUAGCCACAGUAAAUGUUCUAUGAAAUAAGACAAUGCUGAACUUACUGCUGUUUGCUUAGCAGGUUAGAGGUUAUUUGGAAAGUACACAAAGACCUUUUUUUGGCAUACUUUCCCCUGCAAUUUUCUAAGUGGAGAGUUUAAGACAUAUUUUAACAGAGCUAAAUAAAUUCUUGAUCUGGAAGCACAGGUAGAGCCAUGAAAUGUUACAAUCAUGAAAGAACUCUGUUGCAAUUUGCAAAGCAUUAACCAAAUCCCCAAGAAUGAGCCUAGAACCAUGCACAUUUCUAACAAGGCAGCUUGGAGUGUUCAGACACAUCUUUAUUUCUUCAGCUCAUUUACAAAUACUUAUCUGUGAUUUAAAUCACUCCAAUGGAAGCAGAGACUCAAUGGAAGCAGAGCAGAACUAAGUGUUUCCAACUGUCGGUCUGGUGAGGGAUGAGGUAAAGUGGGACAUUUAGCUGGCAUCCUGCAUGCUCGCUAAAUAGAAUUAGCAGAAGCUUCCACAUUUCAAUGUCUAAAAAUAGUGUUGCUUUUAAAGGAAACAUGCCCAAGACCUGAGGGUGGGUCUGGGAGUUAGGUGUACAUGGUGGGUGCAGAAGGGGACAUCUGCGGGUCAAUUAAAUGUCUCGGGGGCUCUAGAUUCAAUGCUAAUUGGUUCCAUCAAAACUAAUCACAAGUAACCUUCUCUGUCUGCAGUCAGCAUCAAAUGAAUCCUGGUAGGGUUGGGCUCAGCAGAGGGCCGCAUGUCUGAUGAAUGGAGCAGUUGGUUGAUUCUCUCAAGUUCAUAACUGGAAUCACCUGUAAACACCCGGCUACUUCUUUUCCUAGUGGAAACAAUAUUUCAGUGCUAAUGAGGGGUUUGAUUUGUUUUUAGUCCAGUGGUUUCCCAUUGUUAAUCAUUAAUUGUGCUGUUACUUAAGAACAGGUCUGAUUAAUGCUUGAUGGUUUCCUUCUCCAGGGCUCCUUUGAGCUUUUGUUAGAGGAGACUUUAAAGGUCAGAAUGGUUAAUCCAGAAACGUUGUACUCCUGUCAAACACGCAAAAUCUACCGCUGAUUCAUACAAAGGGACUUAUUUCAGAGGAGAGACAAUGAUUUGAUAACUGUCAAAUUCUUUUUUUUGAGCAAAACAUUUACUUGUAAUUUAUCACUUAAGAAACAGGUCUAUAAGACUUAGCCAGAGGAUUUAUGUUGUUUGCAAAAAAUUAACUAACUUAGUUCUCAUAGUGACCAUGAGGGAAGCAUUGUGAAUAGACCCAUUUUACAGAUAAAAAAAUAAUUAAAAUACAGGAGGUUCUGUAGUUCCCCAAAUAUCAUAUAAUUAAAUGUGGAAGGGGUAGAAUUUUAAUCCACAUGGGCCCAUGAACUUCUAAUGAGCUUUGCCAAGAAUUGUUAAGUUAUAUUUGUUAUUUAUGAAUAAUGAUAAUAAUAUUAAAAUCUGCCAACAUUAUCUUCAUUCUCCCCUUAUAUCUAAUAGAUAUGAGCUAAUGGAUUCCUCCUUUGUAAUGGUGAAAGGUAUCAAAUAUGUUUAUUAAUCUUUUCAAUUAGUAUGGGAAAUAAUGGGUUUUACUAUGAUAUUGUCAUUCAUUUGUUUUUGUCCACCACUGCUAUCUUUUGUCACUCCUCCAUUUCCCACUGUCCCCUUUAAAAAUUAAAGUCCAGUAGAAUUAAAUAUACAUAUAUAUCAUAGUUGAGUCAGAAACCAAGUAUUAUUGAGACCAAUCAUUAUAAGUAGUUUCCGUUUAAUCACUGACUAUUGUGGUGAGAAAACUAUUUAUUUUAACUCCUUUAUCUACUAUGGAGGUGAAGGCUCUUAGGUGGAUCAGGAAAUGUGUCUGUACCAGGGUCACAGGUCCCUUUGGUGACCGUGCUCAUGAGCACAAGGCUCCCUGUUUUGAAUUAAUCUAUUUCCUGAAACAGCUUUAGAAGUCACCAGCUAGAAGAUAGGCCAAGCAUGUCAAGUAAGCCUAAGGAUGUCCCACUGGGAGGAGUAAGAGUUGGUAGAGUGAAUAUUGACUUCUUUGGAAGGAAGCCAUUUGUGUUCUUAAAUGGCAAAUGCUUGAUAGGUAUUACCCAGGUUUGUAUUGUGCAACUAAUGAUUACUUAGUUAAAAGGAUCAAUAAUGAGUUUCCUUAUUUAUAAGUAAUUGAGUUGAGUUAUCUUCUAGGAUAAACCUGUCAGGUACCCAAGCUUAAAAACAAAAAUCAAAUGACAAAAGAAUCUUUAACAGUUCAUACUAAGAAAAUGCUGGGAUGGAACACAGUGAAGUCUCCUUUCCAGUCCUUUUCAGAGAGAGGAUGAGGGGAAAGAGCUUAAGGUAUGUUCAGGGGCUUCACUGCCAAUCUGGCUCAGUAUUCAAUGACACCUUGCCUUGGCUGGUCCAAGGCUCUCCUCUCCAGACAUCUGUGGCUUUGCAAAGAGUCCAAGUGCUCCCCAGCUGUCUUGGAAAGGUCAUUGGUAGUACAGGAAGUUUGACAUGUGUAUGUAUAUUGAGUUAUUGUGAAGUGUCCACAUAGACUGGACAAAUAUGGAAGAUCUUUAGAGUAGAAUAACUGGAUGGUGGGGUGCUCACUAACCAGGGUCCCUCGGACUUUCUUGGUCUCACUGCAGCUCUUAGCUACUCUCAGUGAAUCAGGGUUCUUUGGGCAUUAGGAACCUCUUGAUUUAGUAGGACCUAUGGAACUCUAUAUUAAUAAUGUAUUGUUUCUGUUGUGUUAUAGUAGUAAAUUUGAUUAUGGUAAAAUGAAUGACUUUUUUGUAUAGUUCAGUGUUGAUAUGUGUACUAGUGACAUCAUCCUUCCCACCAAAAGAAGAACAUGUUAAUCACCCUAGAAGUCUAUGCACACCUUUGCAGGUAGAGCCACUGUGCCCUAGAUUAAGACAUCCAUUUCUAUCAUCAGAUGUAGUGUUGAAUUUCAUAAUGACAUUCAGAGGUGAUUAUGAUCACACAAAGAGAACUGGGGAUAAAAAGUAUUCCUACAGUCAUGUACCUGACACAGAAACACAUUUACUUUGUUAUUUGGAUAGAUAUGUAUACACUUUUAAGACUUCUAAAAUUAUGUUUACUGUAACUGUAAGAUCGCUGAGUGAUACACUUGGAUAUCUGUGUUGUAAAUAAGCAAGGGUUUGCUAGUUGGGGUCACAAAUGAAACUUAGAAGCCCCAGGAUGAUCUAGUAGUCCAGAGAAGUGUCAAGCUGCAGACUCUUAGUUGAGAAUUAAAAGAGGCCACAGAGUGAGUAGCAGGCUGGGUCCAUAAUCCUGUUGACAACACUUUUCUUCAGCUUUUGAUUCAUAGUGCAUCUGUUCCCCACCAGUUGCCCUGAGCCCAGCAGUGUUGCCCUGGUUUCCAUGGUGCUGAUUUGCAUAUGAAACUGGGACUUGGAUUUUUGUGUUUGCCUCACACAUUUCCAGUGCUAAGUGUUCUUCUAAGAAAGGGAUUAUCACACUAACCAGUUAAGGGAGUUUGCCAGAAAUAAAGCACCCAGGGAAUUAUUCUUCAGGUUGUAUUGUGGCUGCUGUGUCUAAGAGAUCAAGGCAGGUUGUUGGGCUUCUGAGGCCAGCAAAAGGCCCUAAAGAUAAAAUGUUUAUUGUAGGUCUGUAGCAUAUUGUCUUCCUUCCUUUCUUCCUUCCUUGCUUCCUUCCAACCUUCCUUCCUUCUUUUAAACUAUAUUUGAAAUUUAAAAUAAUGUUGUUUUGAAAGAAACGAUGCACAUUAUUAUAUUAGCAUUUUAAUCAGCUUCAAGUAGCCGAACCAAAGCUUAAAAUUUGUGAUUCUACAUCUGCCCCCAAGGAAUCCUAUGUAGCAACAUGAAAGAGUGAAGUCUGAUAUUUACAGCCUUGGGUGUCCUUCUAAAACAUGAUGCUGAGGAGAAACACAUAAUUACAAAUGAGGGAUUGGAUUGUGCCCUCAGGAGGAACGUGAGUCCCUGAUCUAUACCCACAGUGCCAGUUCGCUGCUUAGUUGGUGCCUUCUGUGGACAAGGUACAGUGAUUUGGAGGUGACCCUUGCUCUUUGUAGAAUUUUGAAGUGUUUGAGAGGGUGCUUAACCUCUACUCCAGCAUGACUUUUCUUUAAAGCAGAAUGCAACACAUUUUUUUCGGAUCAGAAAAUGCAACAGCAGAGACCAGUGCCGUUUAUGUCUUUGAAAAAUGUGCUAUAUAGCAGCUGUCCCAAGAUGUACCAACUAGCUCAGGGAUGGAUGGCUCAUAUCAUGUGCUGGGCUCCGGGAUGCUCUUCCGGAUGGCCAGUGUAACUGUUGCUUCACUGCUUCCAAUGCUCCUGCAGGUCUCUUGUGUCCCAGCCUAAUGAGAAACUCUCAGAACUCGUUUCGCCUAAAUACUAAAGAGUCACCGUACCUUGCUGAUCAUGACAUUCAACUGGAGAAAAUUAUCCUGGAAACCAGAAGGUCUAUCAGGCAAACUCGGGUUAUUGACAGGCUAAGAACAUUUGUCAGGGCACUGGAUUUCUUCUUCAAAGAGAAAGAAAUAUCUCCCUCUUCCCAGAGUCAUUAGAUAUAAGCUCCCCCUUUUCUGUUUCAGACUGUAGUCUCUCAUAUAACAAAAAGGGGUGUGUGGAAUCCUUCUUAUCCUUGAAGGUCAUGUUCAGCUCUUAUUUUGUCCUUUUCCACUCCCAUUAAAUUUCUUGUCUCCAAGUCUUGCUUACCCUGUUUCCUCUGAUUCUGGACCAAGGCAGCCUGCUAAGCCUGCAAGAACACCAGGCAGGCAAAGGGAGUCUGAAUGUUUGCCUAAACUCUCUGAGCUGUUAAAGUGAAACACUGAGGGCAAAGGCUAACUGCAAGUGAUGGAAUUAAAUAUUUACCAUGUUAGCCAUGACCACUCAGGGGUUUCAGGAAAAGCUAACCAUAUUGCAUGGAGUUUUUUCUCCUGCUUUCCAGAUGAUAUCCAGUCUCGAGUAAAUUUGCCAGCUCUCGGGGAACGCUAUUCAGCAACAUUAAUUUCUUUGCCUACUUACAGUUUCAAGCAAUUAUAAUCUUGGCAGUUUCACCUGCCUUGAGUAAGAACUUGUACACUUUGUUGAUAUCUGGCAGAACUAACACUCUCCUGCAAAGACUUACGUUUCAAUACUGCUAAUUCUACAAGGCACUUGAGCUGUGGAUUAGCGUUUUAUGGACAUUUGGGCCAAAGUUUUAUUACUCAAUUGUCUCAAAUGGAAAAAUAUAUUUAAAAAAAAAACAAGACAUUUGGGGUUUGUGUUCUUUUUUCAAUGCCCUUAUUAAGUUAGUUGGUUUUGUAAGGUGCUAGGUAUUGGAACACUAACUCAUAUUGGAUACUCCGCUGUAGAAAUUGACAUAAUGAGUAUUGACUUGGGGCUCAACCUUCUUUAGGAAGAACCAUGUCAGCUCAGAGCUCCUAAGAGGGUGGCAGGUACAUUUUCAGUGACUGUAUUAUAAUCUCACUUCUUUUUCUCGUUUUUUCACUUCCCUUCCCCCUCUCCUCUUUAGCCUCCCUCCCCCUUUUCCUCUUCCCAUUUCUACCCUCCCCUUCCUAGCCCUCCUCUUUUUCUCUAUUCCCCUCACAUUCCUUCUCUUUUUUUAUUUCUCCAUUGCCUUUAUUUUCCUUCCAUUCCUUUCUAACUGAUCUCACAUUUAUCCCCUAACAAAUGCCUUUGUACAGAUCUUUGCCUCACAGUGUAUCUAUCUCCCCAAGGUUCUUAAAAACCAUAGCUGUGAUUACAUGAAGAUAACAAAGUUUGAGGGAAAGAAAGAGAUUGGAAGCUACUAAUGAACUCUUAGGACCAGGGAAAUGGAGUUUCUGUUUUCCUCCCCACAUUGGUCUUGUUGGGAGGAUGAAGGCAGCUCAUUGGCCCCAGGCCCUGCUGGGGACAUAAGCACUCUCUUUUCCCUCCCCUUUUCUAUGUCUUAUGUUAUGUGAUUUGCUAGCAUGUUAUAUGUCACAAUACCCAUGUUUACUCUCUGUCUACAUCCACUGCUUCUCCCAUACACACACAGACACAGACACAGACACACACACACACACAGACACACACACACACACACACACACACACACACACACACACACACACACAGAGUACAUAAACCCAGGAAGAAAAAGAUCCUUGUUUACUUUCAGUGAUGUGUUUAGCACAUAGUAGGUCUUAGUAAGUAUUAAAUAAAUGAAGGAGAGAAGUCAAAGGGCAAGCAGACACUGGGUAACUGUGACAUGCAAGUCCUUUUAACAACUGGAGAGUUUCAAAGUGGGAGAAAUGUUGAGUGGAUGGAGAUUUAAGGGUUUGGAGAAAACUAAUACACCGAAAUGCUUUGAAAACACAAUUUUCAUAUUCGAGGCUGUGUCAGAUUCUCUUAGAGAGCUUGUUAAACAAAAUCACUGGCCUCACUGUCAGAGUGUCUAAUUCUGCGGGUUCUCUUAUCCGUUAUUAGUUUUUGAAGCAAUUUCAAGUCUCCAUGGUUGGUGAUGCCGGGUGGCUCUUACUAUGCAUACACAGGUGAUCUCCUAGCAAGUGCUUGUUCCAAGUUAGUACUCAGGGGGGCAAGCGCAUGCUGGGUAAAUACCCUUAUUCCCCAAACACCAUUCAGCCCUGAAGCUGAGGGACUCACAGAGCUUUAGUGUUAGGAAAUGAAAGCUUAACCUCCAAGGGCUUCUAGCCCCUGCUAGUGCAGACUUGAUGAGGAGAGCUGAGCUCCACAUGCAAGCCAGCUUCUUCCUAAGCUUGUCAGUGUGACUGAGCCUGUGAUCUCUUUUGGCACAUUCUUUUCCCAAUCAUAACUUGUCCAUCUUGCUACAAUUUCAUAAGCUUUUGUGAUACUUUGUUCAUCAUGAAAAUGUGGCAUAAAAUGUACAGUUAUUGACUAGCCUGUCCACCAGUCCUUUUAGUUUAAAACAUUCCUUGUUAUUGCUUACUGUGGCCUCUCGGGCAUUUUCAGUGAUGUUUUCUUUCCAUUUAGAUUCUUUUAGGGGCACUUUAUUUUCUUUAUGUCUUGCUUUGAAACUUAUCAAGCACCGCAGUUUCCAAAUGAGAAGACAUAGACCAGUAGUGAGCUUGGCAUUCACAAGGAAAAUGGUAAUGGUAGUCAAAGUUUGCUUUUCUCCAGCCUUGUCUCCAAAUAUAUCCUAGUGUAUAGGUAAUUCUGUUAAAAAAGAAAAAGAAAUAAACUAAGAAAGAAAGAAAAGAAAAUGUUUAAACCCGUUGAGUCCAAUGUGUAUUACUUAACUACUCUUCAGAGUGGAGUCUGCCUUGGAGUAUAACCAACCUAUUAGAAGUCACUUUAAAAGAAACAGGCUCUACCUUUCCCAGUAGCUGUUAAGUGCCAAUAGCUCCUCAGCUAGUGAUGGAAUUUCAUGUCCACUUCCACCUUCACUUCUAUGCUAGAUUUGUGUGGUGUGAUCUUGUGCCGGUCUUGUAGCUGGCUGUCACAAUCACUGUGAGUUCCUAUGGAUAGCUGACCUGUAUGUCUGGAAAACAGUGACUUUUUUUUAAGUCCUUUAACUUCUCUGGCUCUUAUAAUAUUUCAACUCUGUCUUCCAUGAAGAUCUCUGAGCCUGUUGGGGAAAGGUAUUCUGGGUAUGUUUCAUUUAGGGCUGAGCACUCUACAGACUUGUAUUCUCUGUAUGUUGACCACCUAAGGGUGUCUGUGUUAAGCAUCAUCUACAGCAAGAAGCUUCUCUGGUGAUAGUUGAGAGAUGUCCUGAUCAAUGGGGUUAGCAACAAGUCAUUAGAAGUCAUGUUAAUAUUAUGACUGCCUAGCAGAAUAAAGAGUAUUUGUUAUUCCCAUAGGGCCUAUUACCUAUCCAGACAUAGGUAAUGUUAAUAGUGUCAGGUAUGGGUUUCCUCAUUCAGGCUUUACAUCUUAUCAGACUAUAGGUGGUUACUUCCAUGCCAUCCAUUUCAUUAUUAUAUCAGUGACCUUAUCUGUUUAGGCCAAUCAGAUUGCAGGAUUCAAGGCUGGAUGAGAUUGAUAGUUAUUUUUCACCUCAAAAGAUAGGUCUGGGAAUGCCUGCAUCGUGAGUCCAGCUCGUGUUGAAACCUUACCUCCAUUGAUGCAUUAGUUCUUUGUUGCCAAGGCAAUGUUGCUUAAAGCAUUGUUCCAGUCCCAGUGGUUUAAGACACUAAGCCCUUACUUAGUUCACAUAUGUGAAUGUCGGAGAUCUCAUUGGAUUGUCUGGGCAGUUGGCUCUUCUGGUUCGGUUUACUUAUAUGCCAAGCAGUAAGUUGGUUGUAAUGACAGAGUAACUGGUUCAGUGUCCUCUAGGGGGUCAUCCACAGCUUGUUCACACAGUGGCUGACCAGGGCAACCAGAGAGAGAGAGAGAGAGAGGAAGAAAAUAAGCCUACUAGACUUUUAGGCUCAUCAUGACAUACUGUCAUUUCCGGUGCCCUUUUCUCAAAGCCAGACUUAAGAGGACAAAAGCUAGACUCCAGUUGUCUGUGCCCUUUUUGGAGACAGAUUUUCACCAUCUGCAGUCUAGACUUGCCUGAAAUUAGCAACUUCUCCCAUCUCAGCUUCCGAGUGGUGGGGUUUCAGGCAUGUCCUGCUACAGUGGGUUAUAGUCUACUGUUUAAAGGCAAAGCAUAUUGGUAGGCAGAGGUGUUAGCUGCUGUUCCUGCAGUACACAUGGUAGUUUUAAAGAUGUCUCUGGGCAAUUUUUUCCACCCCUAAAUAUGGAUGGAAGAGUUUACAUUUUGUUUAUUCUUAUAGUGACUCAUGUACAGCUAUAAUUUGUAGCUCUAAAUUAUUGUUCACUUCAUUCAAAUCAAUUUGCGGGUAUAGAUCAGUACACUGUCGAUACACUACAAUAUAGUAAAGUAAGGACAGGUUUAAAAGCAUUGCCACCUUUUUUUUUGUGGAUCAAAUAUGAUAGUGGUGAUAAUGGCGAGACUGUAGAGAAGGAGUUCAGCUUCUCUUUGUGCUCAAAUCUGACAUCAUUUCAGUAUGUGCCAAGGGAUAAAGAAACAUGCUUCUCCAUAUGUCACAUUGUGUUACUAUUAAAUAAGUGUGUCUCUCACAUUAGUAGCUUUCAUAGCGAUGGUGACACAUGCGCACACGACUGUGACUAUUGCCUGUGAUACAUCUGAGACCAUAUCUGAGAGCUGUUAGAACUUCUGAGUAUUUUUUGCCCAGCCAACUGUUUUGAAGGAUUCCCUUCUAUGACACAUCCGUUUUGCAAGGAGGAACUGUGCAUUAAAAGAACAUUGUAAAUAAGCAACCAUAAGUGUCAUAAAAGUAUGUUAGCUCACAGGGGAAACUUGAGUAUCCUACUCAAAGUUAGCCAUUAAUAUAUGACAAUGGUGUGGUUUGUCCUGAAUUUGACAGCUCCAGGCUCAGAGCCAGAAGCCACUGGUAAGAGCAAUUCUGGCUUCUUCUCUGUAUGUCAUUUCUUGGGGAAACCAAGCCACAACCUGCAUAUCUCUCUAACGCUAUUUUUAAUCUAGCUCUAGCUUUGUCUUGACACUUACCCAGUCAGUAUCUAGAGACUCCAUCUUCGUGUCUAUUCAGGUGUCAAGGAGUACAAAGUAAUUUUUUAUGAAAAGAUUUGUCAAAAUAUUAAAAUUAAAAGCAUUUAAUAUUUUGAUCAUAUCAGUGUGUGUUAUGUGUAUGUGUGUGUUAUGUAUUCAUUACAUACAACAUUGUGUUGCAUCUUUAUUCAAACUUAUACUUAAUGUUAACAAAACAAAACAAACAAAUAAACAAACAAACAAAAAAACAGUGAAACAAAGAGGAAAAAAAUGCCAAGAGGAAAAUUAGAAGGAAACGAGAAGAAGACAGGGAGAAAAGCAAAGGAGAGAAGAGGAGACGAGGAAGGGAAAAUGGCUUCUGGUAUUCUCUGCUGCCUUCAAAGUUUAGCUUGUCCACUUACCAUGCGUCUGUGAAAAUUAAGUCUAAAUAAGUUGUGUAGCUACAAGCUGUUCCUAUGGAGUUUGAAAACAGUGGAGGACACUGCUAACGAGUCACAGAGCUUUUCUCUGAGGAGGCCUUUAUUUGGGUGAGUGUUUUGUUUUUGUGUUUUUGUUUUCUGUAGCAAAAUGGAAACAUGUGAGAAAAAAAAUCUUGAUUUGACACAGAUUUUAAUCUGUGGUCUGCUUUGCCUGUACCAUUUUGUCAUUCAUGAAAUACCUUACUUUUAUGUUCUAAGUACUUAAUAAACCUAUCAAUGCUGGUCCCUCCUAAAAAUGUUUGUUUCCUUCCUUUCUGUUUGGUAUAUGGUAAUGAAAAUUAGCUUUUGAAAAAAGUAUUGCUGCUGCCCUAAAGACUAGUAGGGAUAAUAAAGAAACUGGAGGGGUCAUACAGGCCUUGUGAUUGAAAAAGGCACCUCCUGAUAGAGAGGGUUGAGGUUCCUUAAAUAUUUUAUCAGGAUGUUGUAGGUUUCAAAGCCACCUAUGAAGAGUUCCUUGGUAUACUAUUAACAACAAAGAUGAAGGUUUCAAUAACAGUUGGCCUAAAACUGUGUCCCCCAAAUCUUCAGAACAUUUCUCAAAUCAGUGUGAAGCCCAAUUAAAAGACUUCCACAAUAUGUCCUUGUCCUGGGAAUGUGUGCAGGAGGCAUGUGUGCCCUGCAGCAGAUGUGCCUUGCCCUCUGAAUCUCCCUCGACAUCUAAGAUGUGCCACUAGCUUCUGGUUGCUUGCUGUGUUGUCUCCUCUGGAAUGCUCACAGUCAGGCACUGGCUGCCUGAGCUCCUCAGGAAUGAAUGCCCUGGAGCAGCUCUUGACCAGUUACAGAUGGGAUCUGCUAGAAAGGUUCCUUAAGUGUCUCAGCUUUUAUUUGGGGGUAGAUCUGAGGCACACUUUUCUCAGUUUCCCAAUGAGAAUGCACUCCUAUGACUGUGUAUCAUUAUUCAUUUAUUGCAUGUUCCAUUCUGGCUUUUUUCCAUUCCCCACCUUUUAUUUCUACAUACCUUCAGUUCUUCCUGGGACUGCAUCACUCAGAUGAACUCCGUAUUUCCAGCCCUUAUUUGUGCAUGAAUUCUUUGGAAGAUCCAAUAGGAGCCAUCUGCUAUAACAUUCUCAGUAUUAAAUUCCAAGGCCACCUGUAUUACUGUGUUGUAUUUUUCUGCAAUUGUGGUCUUUGUUCUGUCAAUCCUCACGUAUUCCAGCCCACAGCAUUACAAGGUCAUGAAGCCCCCCUUUUAUAAGGUCAAGUUCUUUGUAUGCUAGCCUAGGAAUAAUGUAUAAAAUAAGAAAGAAAUAAGUUGGUACGAUAUAGCACUAGAAUCAUAAUAGUGUUUGGAAAUGAAAAACAAAGUAAGUCAUUCAUUGAAUUCCAAGAUAGAAGAUAGCGACAAUAACAGAAAAAACAUAUGAGAGAUAGUCCACAGGUCUUUUUAAAUCACUGCUUUACAGGCCUUAGACCAGCAGAAGGAAACUAGAAAAAAUAUCAAAUUAUCCACAAGUCUCCUUUAUUUGUUAGAUUGGGCAGCUAACUUGGUUGUCAGAGGGUUGAGAGUUAGCUGCUACUGACCAGAUCUGUUGAAUUGUGUGGGGCGAGCUGCAUGUCAGGGUUUGACAGAACUGACAUAAAAAAUAUACCUCACAGCGUGUUCUCAUUGAGAGGAGCCUCUCUAUUCAGUAGAGAGGCAUAGCCUUUUCAAGUGCUGUCAGAUCCCCUCUGUCAGAAGGGAAGAGUUUCUAGUCAAAGCCAGUUAAUUCACAUAGUCUCACCUGGGAUUUUUAAAAAUGUAUUUAUUCACUUUACAUCCCAAUAGCAGCCCGGGUCCCUCUGUUCCACCUUUGCAAACCUCCCCCCUCCCCCCAUUAUCCCCUUUGCUUCUCCUGAAAGAAGGGAAAGACCCCUUGGGUACCACCCCACCCUGGGACAUCCAGUCCCAGCAAGACUAAGUACCUCUUCUCCCACUGAGGCCCAACCAAGCAGUCCAGUAAGGAGAAAGGAAUCCCGUGGGCAGGCGACAGGGUUAGAGACGACACUCCAUCCUAUGUUAGGGGACCCACAGGAAGAACAAGCUAUAUAUCUGCUACAAAUGUGUAGGUUGCCUAUAUCUAGCCCCUGCAUGUUCUUUGGUUGAUCAUUCAGUCUCUCUGAGUCUCUAUAAGCCCAGGUUAGUUGACUCUGUAGAUAUUCUUGUGGUGUCCUUGGUCCCUCAGGUUUGUUCAGUUCUAUUCCCCACUCUUCCCUACGACUCCCCAGCUCUGCCUGAUGUAUGGUUGUGGGUCUCCGCAUCUCUUUCCAUCUGCUGCUGGCUGAAGCUUCUCAAGAGACACUUAUGCUAGGUCCCUGUCUAUACGCAUAGCACAGUAUCAUUAAUAGUGCUGGGUGGGCUCUCUCACAUGGCUCUUUCAAGUUGGGCCAGUCAUUAGUUGGCUGUUCCUUCAGUCUCUACUCCAUCUUUAUCACUGUGCAUCUUGUAGGCAGGACAAAUUUUGGGUUGGAGGUUGUCUUGAUGGGUUGACCUCCCUCUCCCUCCACUAGAAGUCUUGCCUGGUUAUAGGAGGUGCCCACUUGAGUCUCCAUAUCCCCCUCUGGUAUGAAUCUCAGCUAGGGUCAUUCCCAUAUCCUCUUAGGAGCCUCCUGUCCCACAGAUGCCUUCCCCCUCCCUACCAAUUUCCUUCUGCCUCCCCACCAAUUUCCUUUCUCACUCCCAGCCCUCUCUAGCUCCACCUCUCCCCACACCUGAUACCCAAACUUAUCUCCCCACCUCAUUCCCUUUCUCCACCCACCUCUGAUGAGUAUAUUGUUUCUCCUUCUGAGUGAGACUCAUACAUCCUCCCUUGAGCUCUUAUUAUUUAGUUCCUUUGGGUCUGUGGAUUGUAGCUUUAUGGCUAAUGUGCAUUUAUAAGUGAGUACAUACAUACCAUACAUGUCUUUCUGGGUUUGAGUUACCUCAUUCAGGAAGAUAGUUUUUGGUUCCACCCAUUUUCCUAUAAAUUUCAUGUUGUCCUGGUUUUUAAUAGCUAAACAGAAUUCCAUUGUGUUGAUGUACCACAUCUUCAGUUGUUUCCAGUUUCGGGCUAUUACAAAUUAAACUGCUAUGAACAUAUUUGAGCAAGUGUCUAUCCAACCUGGGAUUUGAACCCUGUACUUUGUUGAACACACAUUUGUAAAAUUUGGCUAUUCUCUGUAUGGUAUAGUCAACAAUAGCUUGAGUAUAUAGACUACCAUUACAUUUGAGAAAAUUCACAUGAACAGUAUUUUGUUCUGAGGAUGUUUUAUUUCAUAAACACCAUAAAAUGUUUAUUGAAUAAAAGGGACAUUAUAAAGUGUCACUUGGGAAAUGCACCAUAAUCUAGCCUUCUUUGAUAUGGAGAAUCCAAAAGUAGGGAUCUAUGAAUGAGAAAUUCCUGGGUGACCUGAAACGGACAUAUUAGGAUUGUGGUUGAAAGAGAAUAAGAAUUGAUUUCCCCCAAGGUAUGCGUGCCCUUCCUACACCCUCUGGGUUCUUCUCCUGUGCUGCUUGUUGUAGUUGUAGUUCAUAGGCAUCAUAACACACCAUGUCAGUUCUGGGGAUCACCCAGGGUCUCUGGAAGAACACUACCCAGUGUUUAAGUCAACUCUCUAGUUCCCUGAUUACAUUUUCAGUCUGCAGAAGCUUGAAUCAGUGUAAGCUGAACCUAUAGAAAUGGACACACACACACACACACACACACACACACACACACACACACACACA